AACGAACGCUGGCGGCAGGCUUAACACAUGCAAGUCGAGCGCCCCGCAAGGGGAGCGGCAGACGGGUGAGUAACGCGUGGGAAUCUACCCAUCUCUACGGAAUAACGCAUGGAAACGUGUGCUAAUACCGUAUACGUCCGUCGGGAGAAAGAUUUAUCGGAGAUGGAUGAGCCCGCGUUGGAUUAGCUAGUUGGGGGGGUAAAGGCCUACCAAGGCGACGAUCCAUAGCUGGCCGGAGAGGAUGAUCAGCCACACUGGGACUGAGACACGGCCCAGACUCCUACGGGAGGCAGCAGUGGGGAAUAUUGGACAAUGGGCGCAAGCCUGAUCCAGCCAUGCCGCGUGAGUGAUGAAGGCCCUAGGGUUGUAAAGCUCUUUCACCGGUGAAGAUAAUGACGGUAACCGGAGAAGAAGCCCCGGCUAACUUCGUGCCAGCAGCCGCCGUAAGAC
rnacentral:rRNA from 1 species